rnacentral:lncRNA from 7 species
GGAGACUCUCACUCUGUUCAACCCAGCUUUGUAAAUGAUGGUCAAGAAUUCUUGGAGAGAAGAAACUCACAGGAUAAAUUUAGAGAAGCUAAACUUAACAUACUUUUAUCUAGUGUACAGAAUGCGUGAGGAAUGAAGCAGAGAGAUGACACAGCAGCUCCUGAUUCAGAAGCUCCUGAACUGAAAAUUGGGAGAGCAUUGCACUACAUCCUACCUCACACUUCAGCCUUUACUUCUCUGUGAAAAGAUACAGAAAGACCUCAGUAAUUGACAGGACAUCUACUUUGAUCUGAUUUUGGCAACAUAUGCCAAAUCUCUCAGAGGUGACUAUUCUACAGUCCUACCUGCCUACGAGCCAGCCACGCCUUUCUCUAAGGGGAAAUACUUGUUUCAAUUGUUACAGCUGCACUAGUAACGCACAUCAACAGUAAUAUACUGGAGAAGACACUUAAGGGUGUAAUGGAGCAAAAUGUCCUACAUGGAUGUAUUACAUGAAUCGGCUGUUGUUGUAAUUGAGAUGACCUCUGAACAGCCUUCUAUAUGCCUCUGUAACAAGUUUCUUCUUCUUCUCUGAGAUGCUAAUUGCUGUAUUUUUUGACUGAAUACAAUUUACACCCAUAUUUUCAUUUUUGAAAAUACAGAGAAGGAACAUGAGAAAUAAAAAUAAGUUAAUAAAAUUGAAUCCCCUACUACACACUCCAGUGUGUAUGCACUGUGAAGUCUUCAGGUUUUGUACACUUCAUCAUGUUUUUUAAUUCUUACUUUAGCCAACUGGGAUAACAGUAAUUUAAUUCCCUCAAAGUGAAAACACACUUUUACUCAAAAUUUCUAAUGUUUUCAUUCACCUCAAGUAGAAAAGAUGCUUGGUUAAUAGAGCAAUUUUCCCUUCCUUCCCUCCAAAGGCAGUACUUUACCAACCUCCAGCAGCUCCAUACUACUCCUUUCCUAGCUCAUCAAUACCUGUGAGCAGUGAGCUUCUUAUUAUCUUAACAAUGAAGGCUUGUAAUUCUACCUUAUUAUGAUAAAUUAUCAACCGGCAAACUAUUAUAUGGAAAUUUUCAAAACGUAGGAAAAAAAAUGUAGAAAUGCAGGCCAAAAAUUCAGUAAAGUUUGCAUGUAAUGAAAAUAUUUUAACAAGUGAAGUAUAACAAUGCAAUAUUAAGUCUAAUAUUGGUGACAUUUCACAGAUCUUGUUAGAAACUAGAGAGCAGGCUUUAUUUGAACUUUGCUGCCCUUAUAUUAAAUUUUCUUUUUUAGAAUUAAUUUAUUUCCUUGUAGUUCUCAUUAUGUUUUUAUUGCAUUCAUGGAAUAGUGGAGCAUUUCUCUAACUAAUUUAACACCUGUAAAUUCCCAUGGCUGCUAACGAAAGACUGUGUAGACUACCAGAUAAAUUUCUAAUUCAUAUUUCAAAGGUUGGGAGUUCAAAUCCUAUUAAGGUUGUACUUAUUAAUGUUUCUAUUAACUCUUUUCCAUCCCUGAAG